GCACGUCUGCAAGGGACACGAGGUUAGAGGCGGCGCUCACCCCUCCUCCCGGCCCCUCCAGGCCAGGCUGGGUGCAGAGCCCGGGGCGGACACCCUCUGAAGCAGGGUCUGGCAGAGACACCGUGGGGGCAGAGUACAGCGCUCUCCGUCCUCCGCCUGAGGCACCGUGGGCGCUCCUAACACCGCCACAGAGAAAGGCUGACCCUGCCCACCGUUCCCGGGCUCUCCAGGGUUCCCCUGGUCCAGGUGAGGGUCAGAAACCACGGGGUGGGAAUGGGGAAGGACCAGGCAGGGCAGCCGGCACCUGACUGGACCCUCAGUGACCACGUGCCUGAAGUCAGGCUGGGGAGGUAGGAGACCAGUGCAGGAAUGACUGGCAGAGGCCCUGGAGGAGGCUGGGUUCAGGGAGACCCACCUGGCCCAUGGGAGGAGCAACACCCGCACUCCCACCUGCUCACGGGACCUGGGCCAGCAGGAUGGCCUGGGGGCAGGGCCUGGGACCUGGUAGGAGGCACACGGAGGCCAAGUUCUGAAGGCUCCCCUCCUUACGGUGGCUUGGGUUCCUGCCCCUGUCCCCAAGGUAGCCAUUCAGGUCGAGUGCUCCCGUUGUGGGACGGCAGGUGUGGGGCCAGCCAGGGGCCGGGCCACGCCGGGGCUGGUGGGGAAAUGGCAGGCCGCCUCGGGUGACAGCACCACCAAGGCAAGAAGUGAGUGGCUGGCAGGGCCCCGAGCUGGCCCCGAGCUGGCCCACAGCCACCUCCCCCUCAGUGGCUGCACUUGUGUCCCUCCCCAUCUACAAGGCAAGGCCUCCAUGGCGCCAGCUACGCAGGAGCAGGAGGAGCUCCGUCAUGCCAACGCCGACUGUCCCUCACACCCUGCCAGCCCCUGUAGCCAGUGUGAUAAGGACAGAGGCGGACAAGUCCCAGCGCUGAGAGUUCACAGUGGGAGAGAACAGGCCAGUCAUCCAAGACUUGGGCCAGCCUGAGUCUGCAGUGGCCCAGCAGCAAGGGUGUCCACAAGGGGGCCGGAGGGGUCCCUCCCUCGGUGCAGGCACAGGGGACGGUACCAGAAGGAAGAGGACACCUUUCUCUUUUCCUUUAUAUAUUUUUAGGCUAUGAUUUGCCCUCAAAACUUUGCUUCUGCUGCACCUUACAGCCCUGACUGACAGAACCGCCUGAGCUGAGUCUGGCCAGGCUGGCAUCUGCUUGGGGCUGAGCCCUUGCCCACGGCUCUAUCUGUAGCACACAUAAGCACCUCCGACAGUGUCUGGCACACAGCGGGCAGCCAAGAGGACGGGCUGUUCUUUGCACUAGCUGCCGGGCUCUGCUGAGGCCAGAGCGAGUGUCAGAGGAACCCAACACUCAUGGCCUGAGACUCCUGUCAGAUGCAGCCAAGCCAACACUGCCAUCUGUGAGGAGACACCCACACCCGGUUCUAGAAAUGCCCCUCUGGAGAGGUCAGCCGCGACACCAGCAAAGCUCCAUCUUGCCGCAUGGGGGCAGCCGCUGCGGCGCCAGCAGGUCAGACCCUGGCCCAGGCACACCACGCCUCCCCGUGACACUGCCCGGAAGCCCGUCUCCCCAGCGGGCAGGGCAGGCUUGCUUUCUCCAGAGAGUGCCACAGUUCCCGAGUUCCAAAGGACACCCUGGUUGGCUCCCUGGGGACCCACAGGGUGCUGCUUAGGGAACACGGUGAAAAUACAUCUCAGGAUAACAGCCCAGUGGCGGCCAGUGACUGAGCUGUCCUGGAGAGGACAUCGCUGCCGCAUAGCUGUGCCCAGGCCGCGCUCGCAGCCCCCAGAGCCACUGUCCUAACACCGGGGCUGAAGCUGGCUCACCUCUCGGACCUGGGACCAGAACCAGCUGCCUGCCAACCUUGGGGAAGAGGAGUGCCUCCUCUCCGGAGCCCCGAUGAGCAAGGCUGCUGCCGGCAGGAACAGCGGAAGCCCCAGAGGAGCUGGCCCCGGGACCUGGGUCUGCGGGCGCAGGAGGGCGCUGCAGCGAGGGAGGAAGCUCCAGGAAACUGGCCCUGGCUUUCCUGCUCACCAUGGUGCCCAGGACCCAGAACAGAAAGGCACGUGGCAGACACUGGUCUUCUUCCUUAUCUGGUGAAGGAAUGAAAGGGUGGUCCUCGGGGCACCACAGGGCUUGGGGCUGGAGCCCUGUCCACACCCUGCGCCUCCACUCACUCUGCCUGUGUUCCCACCCCGUGCUCCUCUGUAACAGGAGGGGACUGGAGCCACCAUCUAAAGUGCACUCCAAACAGAGGACCCGGGGACCAAGGCCGGGCCCACAUGAGGGUGCACUCCUGGGGAGGCGGCUCCUGCAGGGGACCGCAUGGCGCCAGGCUUCUCCCAGGAGCAGACGAGCUUCUUUUCUCAAAGUAUUAAAUCAGGUCAAGGACCAUCUUUUCCUCUGAGCCUCUGGCCCCAGUCUCUCCUCCGCAUUUUGAACUGGCCAGAGUCACGGACUUCAUCCUGCCUGGCCCAGAAUUCCUCCUGAGGAGGCUGCUCUGUGCCGCACCCGGCAGGCUCUGCAGAACCGCAGGCUAAAAAUAGGAGACGCGAGGCCAGGGCUCCCGGGGCUGCGCUGGCAGACAGGAAGGGACAUGGCCUGGGCUUGGGCCCAGGGUGGCCAACAUGGGCCUGAGAGAAUGGGCAUGUGGCCCGUGGCAGGGGAGGCUGGGCUGGCUCAAGGCUCUUACUGCAGCUGACAGGAUCCCCACCUGCCAGGCCCGGGCCACCUUGUCUUCUAGGAGCACAGAGAGCAGGUGCAGCUCUAGUGGUUCUGUAGAACUCGGGGCUGCAGAGGGGUGAUGUGGGUUGCCACACAGGAGCAAGCCCUGAGCUGCUGGGGAGGCACGGGGGCCUAGGAGGAGUCAGCAAGCCACCCCUUUUCAGGAGAGUGAUGACGAUUCGUCACACAGACAUGCAGAAGUACACUCUGUUGGUGGCACCUGGGUUUUCCACCUCUCGCUGUAGGAAAUGCUGCUGUGAACUUCAUUCAAGUUUUAGUUUCUCUGCGUGGACGCCUGAGAGGACUUGCACGGAGGAGGACGGCGCUGCCAGAGUGCUUCCCCUCAGCCCUGAGGGCUGCAGUCCCCCGGUGGCGCGCUCUUGUCUGCACCUCUGUGACACUGCCUCCGGUCUGCCUUUUGGGUCCUGACGUCUUGAGUGGGCUGAGGGACCCUGUCCUCUGGUGCCCAGCCAUGCGACCUAGUGCUCACUGUCCCCCACCACCUGGGGACAGCCCUGUGUGCAGGCUGCAGGCUUGCUCCCUGCAGAAGGACCUGGAACCACUAGCCCAGGCCUCCACUCUUGAGGUGCUCCCUCCCUGGGAGCCUGGGCCCCAGCAGGGCUGGAACCGAGGCCGAGGCUCUUCCCAGGAGCAGCUUCCAGAGCUGAGAGACAGGCCAGUUAGGGGCCACCAGAGAGGGGCAGGACUCCAGCUCUGGGCAAGCCACAUUACAAGAGCAAAGCCCUAGGCCACAGCAGGGUGGACACAGGAAUUAGAGCCAUGGGACAGGGCAAGGAGGGCCGGAUCCCAGGACCUGCGGGCCAACUGGUCGGGACUGGGCACUGCAGCAUGUCAGCUGUCCCUCCAGUCUGGUCUCUGCUGACUGGUGCUGGAGGGCCAAUCCUGGGCCAGGAGUAGCUGGUCUCCGCUGGCACCUCGGAGAUAUUUGCUGGCUUCUUAGGGAGAACAGGCCUGUCCAGCAGUGGUUGUAGACCACAGUGGACUUCAGAAGACAGCCUAGCUCCCCUCAUCCAGGGUGGUGCUGGGCAUGCGUUUCCGAUGUGGUGUCCACAGGCACCAUCUGUCUUCCUCAGAGCGGCUGUGGGGAGGAGCAGGGAGAGGAGGUGUGGAGGACGGCAGGGUGGCCCCUCCCAGGCGGCGCUGCACCCGGCUCCUGCUCCCACACAUGGUUCAAGGAACCCUCUAAGACAUGAGUGGGCCCAGGGCGAGUGCAAGUCACCACUGUGGCAGGUGCGGGACCCGUGAAGCCUUGCCCUCCCAGCUCAGCCCCCACCUGCUCUGCCGCUUGAGGACAAGGCUCCAGAGGCCGGAACGUGAAGGAUGAUUUUUGCUCCAGAGCUCCAACUCCGAGCGAGGCUGUCCUGCCUCUCCUCCCUGUAACUCCAUUCACCUGCCCAGGAGUCCAGCAGAAGCAAGGAAUUCGAGGUGAAGCUGAAGGAGUUCACCUGGGAAGAGUGGCGAACCUCAGUGUGAUGAGAGCCAGGUCCUGGGCCCAGCUGUUGGUCUCCUUCACUUCCUCCACGCCAUCACGAGUCCUCUGGGGAAGCACUGGCAGAUCUAGAAUAAAGUUCUCUAAUUUCUACUUCUGGUAAAGACUAGUGAAUUUUCUUCUGGUACAUUUUCUCCCAUGAUAGCAUAGCUAGUUGCUAGGUGUGCAACCAACCAACCUGACCGGCCUUUCCUCCUUACCAAUGGAAGCCAAGCAACUUGCCUUUCCACACUGGCUGCUAGAAAGCUCAGAAUCAAACAUGAAUCAAGUGAAAGCACCAUGUUGGUGCCCAGUAGCUAUAUUUUCGUCCCUGUGACCGAUCCUGUGAGCUGCACACACAGCCCCUCCUGCAAGUCACUCCUCCAAGCCAACCACCUACGUCAAUUAUGGUUUUCCUCGACCCAAACGUUUCACUCGACUGUGCUGAGACAGAGUUUGGAAAAGGAGUCGGAAGCACUGUCAAUACCC